ACAAAACAGAAAAUUUUUAAUCGUAUCGAAUAGUGCGGGAGUGCCGUUCAGUAUCGCGCGUAAAAGUGCGAAAAUAGCGAUAUAAAAAUAUCGCUCGUGAGUGCGGAAGUGCCGUUAAAUAUCGCGCGUCUAACUGAGAGGAGGAGGAGGCCUAGGAGAGGCAUCAGGCUCCGGCAGAGCAACCUUCUGAUGUAACCAACCCAGAUGAUCUGAGAGGAGGAGCAGGCCUAGGAAAGGCAUCUUGCACCAGCGGAACAACCUGAUGACAACAUAGCUUCAAUAUCAAUUCCGCUGUUGCGCAUCAGUGCCGGUAAGUGACAACUUUUUAUUUUGAAGCAAAGGAUUUGUAAAUGCAUGAAGAAAUCCGUUGCUUCUAACUCUUGAUUGGCGGGACAAAACGUGUAA
rnacentral:lncRNA from 1 species